CAAACAGGAUUAGAUACCCUGGUAGUCCACGCCGUAAACGAUGUCGAUUUGGAGGUUGUGCCCUUGAGGCGUGGCUUCCGGAGCUAACGCGUUAAAUCGACCGCCUGGGGAGUACGGCCGCAAGGUUAAAACUCAAAUGAAUUGACGGGGGCCCGCACAAGCGGUGGAGCAUGUGGUUUAAUUCGAUGCAACGCGAAGAACCUUACCUGGUCUUGACAUCCACAGAACUUUCCAGAGAUGGAUUGGUGCCUUCGGGAACUGUGAGACAGGUGCUGCAUGGCUGUCGUCAGCUCGUGUUGUGAAAUGUUGGGUUAAGUCCCGCAACGAGCGCAACCCUUAUCCUUUGUUGCCAGCGGUUAGGCCGGGAACUCAAAGGAGACUGCCAGUGAUAAACUGGAGGAAGGUGGGGAUGACGUCAAGUCAUCAUGGCCCUUACGACCAGGGCUACACACGUGCUACAAUGGCAUAUACAAAGAGAAGCGACCUCGCGAGAGCAAGCGGACCUCAUAAAGUAUGUCGUAGUCCGGAUUGGAGUCUGCAACUCGACUCCAUGAAGUCGGAAUCGCUAGUAAUCGUAGAUCAGAAUGCUACGGUGAAUACGUUCCCGGGCCUUGUACACACCGCCCGUCACACCAUGGGAGUGGGUUGCAAAAGAAGUAGGUAGCUUAACCUUCGGGAGGGCGCUUACCACUUUGUGAUUCAUGACUGGGGUGAGCGAAAAAAAGGGGAAACCA
rnacentral:rRNA from 1 species